CCCUGAUGGUUGGAAUUCCCUGGUGUCUCAAGCCUCACAACAGUAAAAAAGUCUCCAAGAAUCUCCUUCCCCAUCAGCCCAUCACCUGGCCGUGUCCCGGAAGCUCCUGGAUCUCAGCCUUUCAACCACGUGCUAUUCCCUGUGCCUAACAAGCCUGCCUCUCGUCCCCAUUCUUCUAACAGAUCUUUCUUCAGAAACAUCUCUAAUGCGAUAAGAAACCUCUUCAAGGAUUUGAGGCCAUCAUACUUCAUACACCGCACUCUAAAUCUAAUCCCAGUCUUCAAUUUUCUCAGACAGAAGCAAUUAAAGGUGAAUAUAGGUCCAGUCCACUUAAGAUUAAUUGCCUGCCAAAGGUCCGAUCUUUUGGAACUGGAUUUCCGAUUAAGAGUGUUCACACCAUGGAAGGAUUACUAAGAUAACUCGGCACUCCAAUGGCUCCUUCAAGGUUAUUUAGGUUAAAAUUAUCCAAACCAUUUGUGCCUUGGCCUUGUCGCUCAGAAAUCUAUUCGGCAGCACCUGUCAACUCAUCUCUCAAAUGCACAGCUCCCUGCCAGGCCACCCAGCCUGAGACUCCUGAGUAAGGAACACGGGGACCCAGGGAGGGUACAGGCACUGACAAGCCUGGUUUGACUGUCUUCUGCUACCUGAUUCAGUAGUCUCUCUGCGACUGAGUCCAGACUUAAAAACGAAAGAGGAAUAAGUGAGGCAAUCAUUCUUUGUUGUCGGUUUAGAUAAGGCCUUUCUGACAAUGGGCAGAAUAUGACAUUUCUGUCUCCUUGCACUUGUUGGAUAAAAACAUGUACUGUGUCAGAAACCUUCAGAGAAGACUGGCCACAGGAGUUGCUGUUCACUCUAUCUAGUCUCUCCCCAACACUGGCGAUCGAUUUUCCCAAUGUCUCCA